CUACGGGUCGCUGCAGUGAGGAAUAUUGCACAAUGGGGGGAACCCUGAUGCAGCAACGCCGCGUGGAGGAUGACGCAUUUCGGUGUGUAAACUCCUUUUAUAUGUCAAGAAAAUGACGGUAGCAUAUGAAUAAGCACCGGCUAACUCCGUGCCAGCAGCCGCGGUAAUACGGAGGGUGCAAGCGUUACUCGGAAUCACUGGGCGUAAAGGACGCGUAGGGGGGUUGGAAAGUCAGGUGUGAAAUCCUACAGCUUAACUGUAGAACUGCACUUGAAACUUCUAAUCUAGAGUAUGGGAGGGGGAGAUGGAAUUAGUGGUGUAGGGGUAAAAUCCGUAGAUAUCACUAGGAAUACCUAAAGCGAAGGCGAUCUCCUGGAACAUUACUGACGCUAAGGCGUGAAAGCGUGGGGAGCAAACAGGAUUAGAUACCCAUGUAGUC
rnacentral:rRNA from 1 species